AAAUGCGAUAAGUAAUGUGAAUUGCAGAAUUCAGUGAAUCAUCGAAUCUUUGAACGCACCUUGCGCUCCUUGGUAUUCCUUGGGGCAUGCCUGUUUGAGUAUCAUGAAAUCUUCAAAGUAAAUCUUUUGUUAACUCAAUUGGUUUCUACUUUGGUAUUGGAGGUCUUUGCAGCUUCACACCUGCUCCUCUUUGUUCAUUAGCUGGAUCUCAGUGUUAUGCUUGGUUCCACUCGGCGUGAUAAGUUAUCUAUCGCUGAGGACACUGUAAAAGGUGGCCAAGGUAAAUGCAGAUGAACCGCUUCUAAUAGUCCAUUGACUUGGACAAUACUUUUAUGAUCUGAUCUCAAAUCAGGUAGGACUACCCGCUGAACUUAAGC
rnacentral:misc_RNA from 1 species